UUUCCCUAGUAACGGCGAGUGCAGAGGAAAGAGCUCAAAGUUGGAACCUGUUUGGCUUAGCUAAACCGGAUUGUAAACUGUAGAAGCGUUUUCCAGGCGCACCAAGCAAAUAAGUCCUUUGGAACAGGGCAUCAUAGAGGGUGAGAAUCCCGUCUUUGGCUUGAGUUGUCGUCUAUUGUGAUACGUUUUCAAAGAGUCAGGUUGUUUGGGAAUGCAGCCUAAAUUGGGUGGUAAAUCUCACCUAAAGCUAAAUAUUUGCGAGAGACCGAUAGCGAACAAGUACCGUGAGGGAAAGAUGAAAAGAACUUUGAAAAGAGAGUUAAACAGUAUGUGAAAUUGUUAAAAGGGAACCGUUUGGUGCCAGACUGGCUUGAUUGUAAUCAACCUGGGCUUCGGCUCGGGUGCACUUGCAGUCUAUGCCUGCCAACAACAGUUUGGUUUGGAGGAAAAAAUUAUAAGGAAUGUGGCCCCUCCUGGGGUGUUAUAGCCUUAUUUCAUACUCUGGACUGGACUGAGGAUCGCAGUGAAUGCCUUUAGGCAAGAUUGCUGGGUGCUUUCGCUGAUAAAUGCUAGAAUUUCUGCUUCGGGUGGUGCUAGUGUUUAAAGGAGGAACUCGCUUGGUAUAUUUUUUAUUCGCUUAGGUUGUUGGCUUAAUGACACUAAAUGACCCGUCUUGAAACACGGACCAAGGAGUCCACCAUAAGUGCAAGUAUUUGGGUGACAAACCCAUAUGCGUAAGGAAACUGAUUGAUACGAAACCUUUUGGGUGGCAGUAUCACCCGGCGCUGACGUUUUAUACUGAAUUGACCGAGGUAAAGCACUUAUGAUGGGACCCGAAAGAUGGUGAACUAUGCCUGAAUAGGGUGAAGCCAGAGGAAACUCUGGUGGAGGCUCGUAGCGAUUCUGACGUGCAAAUCGAUCGUCAAAUUUGGGUAUAGGGGCGAAAGACUAAUCGAACCAUCUAGUAGCUGGUUCCUGCCGA
rnacentral:rRNA from 1 species